rnacentral:rRNA from 1 species
UACGUAGGGGACGAGCGUUGUCCGGAAUUACUGGGCGUAAAGGGCGCGCAGGCUGUGCUGCAAGUCAGCUGUGAAAUGUCUGGGCUUAACCCGGGCAUGCGGUUGAGACUGCAGUGCUGGAGUGCUGUAGAGGCAAGUGGAAUUCCCAGUGUAGCGGUGAAAUGCGUAGAUAUUGGGAAGAACACCGGUGGCGAAGGCGACUUGCUGGGCAGCAACUGACGCUGAGGCGCAAAAGCCAGGGGAGCAAACGGGAUUA